UGACGGUGAUUGAUCCGACAACAAAGAACCAGACGUCCAAAUAUUUAAGGGGGAAUGAAUAUGCUACAAGAGGAAUAGAAAAUGAACACCAAGCAGAGAUCCAUAAGAAUCCCGUGUACGAAGGAAUUUCCAUUUAAACAGCAUGAAUUUCAACUUAUUAGCGAUUUACACCGCACCGAGUUUUUGAAACCAGUCAUUUACAUCUGUUGACAGUCAAAUCUCAGUCAAUUCCUGAUGGAUUUUCUUGUCCCUUUGUUUUAUUUAUAGAUGAUGGAUGAGGUGGUUGCUAAGCAACAACAGCCAGAUAAACUCUGCAAUUGCAGGAAAAAAGACGAAUGUCCACUCUCUGGAAAUUGCCUCACCUCAUCCCUCAUCUACAAACCACUGUCCACUCAAAUGACACAAAAUGCUACAUCGGGCGCACUGACACACCGUUCAAAAACCCGAUACACAAACCACAAAUACACUUUUAACACCCCCAAGCACAGAAACAGCACCGU